CAGCACUGUGUAAAUUUAACCACUGCAAGCUUAUUAGGAGUUGGCUGUUCACUUUCUCUGUGAGACUGACCCACAGGAUGAGGAGGAGGACAACACCAGAUGACAUACACAAACCGCUUUUUGGAUGGUGCCUUUUCCAAGAGUGCAGCUUCAAAUGCAGUGUUGCACCAGCAAACUGGAAUUUUUUAUUACAACAGGGAGCAGUGGGCAGCCGCUGUGCAGCACCCGGGGACCAACUCCAGAUCUUAUGUCAGUGUCUGGUCAACGCACUGAGUGAACAAACCUAACAUGUUUUUGAUGAAAUAUGUGGCUGUAAUAUGCAACCUGAUCACUGUGGUUAUAUUUCUCCUCUUAAAAGGACAUUUUUCCUUGCCUGUGUCGCCAAGUGCUAGCUCAUGGUGGGAAUUGUUGGGUCUCUAAAUAAUAGCACAAAGAGUACGGUCUAGACCUGCACUUUAUGAACAGCACUAUGAGAUAACUUUUAUUGUGAAUUGGCACUAUUUAAAUAGAAUUGAAAUGAAUUAUUUUAAAAAUCCUAACUUUCUUGUAGACCAUUACCAGGAUCGCGUUUAUGUCCCAAUAUGAAAAAGAAGCAGGGAACUAUUUUGUUCCCACAUCAUCAGCAACUAUUUUUAAAAAAUACAAAUAAAUAAACUUUCAUUCUAUGUAUGGCAUUGCGAUAGUAUUUAAUAGCAGAUAGUUAUUGCAUUAAUCAUAAUGAUGACAUACUAUUAAGCACAGGAACCAUGUUGGCCAUCAGAUCAUCAUCAUGUCAGCUUAAGAAUAUAAAUCAUCUGCUCCUGGCUGGAUAUUUGAGCUGCUGUACUCGUGUGAAGCUCUGCAAGUCGCAGACAACAAUAUGCUCCGUCAGAGGAAAACUCUCCACAGUUGUCCCAAACUGUCAGUGUGUGCAGAGAGCCCUGUGUUUAAAGGGAUGAAAGUAGUGAAUGUGACUGGUCAUGGUUGUCACAGCCUCUAACACGGCCACCUAUAAUUAUUAACAAUGUAUUCUUUCGGAUCCCACCCCUUAUCCGAGUGCACCACAGGUGUGCCAUAAGAGGCUGGGAAUGAUCAAAAGUUUGUUGUGCACUGGGCAGGGUGCAUUUUACUGUGAUCUGCGCCGCAUGCAGCACAGGGCCGUGGGCUGGAUUUGAACUUGGGCUGCUGUGGUAAGGACUCAGCAUUGUCCAGUUUGCAGCCUACUGAGAGCUCCCACGGACCAUCGAGCUCCAUGCCUUCAGCUGACCUGCAUGAAGGACCCCUGCCUGAGCUGGAGAUAACCACGGGCCGCGCAUUCGUCCUGCCAUCAUGCGUGUCAUUAUAGGUACUGUCCAUUCAUCGUAUUACGCUCAUGGGAUGUUCCAAAGUCUUCUAAUCAGAAAUAGUGUAAUUCACCUCUCCAGCUAGCAGCAUCCGGUCAUAAACAGUCAUAGAUAUCUCACAUAUCAUUACAUCUGUCUUUAUCAUGUACUUCUGUCAUCAUGUAUAUCACUGUCAAUCUUAUAUAUUAACUAUGCAUCAUAUUUUAUCCUCUCUUUGUUCGUUAUAUGUAUACAUUCUGCAAAUAAUUACCAUAUACUGAGGGAAAUUGUAUGUGUGUAAAUUGUUUAAUAUUGGAUCCCAAAAACUAGAAAAGCGACUUAGUAUAUGGAAAUACAGCUCAUAUAUUUCUGGCCCAUUGUCACUGUGAAGACUAUGUUCACUACAUAACCAAAUGAGAAAAAAAGGUAUGACUAAUGACACUAUUAGUCCCUCUGGUCUUACCGUAGGUCCCACAGGUCCUGAGGGUCCCCUUUCCCCUAGAGGCCCUGGGUGUCCUGGCAUUCCUUGGAAACCCUGUACAAUACAAAUAGAUGGGUGGGUAGAACACCAGACAAAUAUCAAAAUGGAUGGAUAGACAUGUGGUCAUAUACGCUGAUUUCUGAGACCCCUAGGACAAUCAUGCUGUGAAGUGACCAUAUCAUCAUGUGUGCAUUCCUAUUCCUAUAUUAAACUGUCUUGUGGUCCUGAGA